rnacentral:rRNA from 1 species
UACGAAGGUCCCGAGCGUUAUCCGGAUUUAUUGGGUUUAAAGGGUGCGUAGGCGGAUUAUUAAGUCAGUGGUGAAAGCCUUCAGCUUAACUGAAGAAUUGCCAUUGAUACUGAUGAUCUUGAGUACGAUUGAGGUAGGCGGAAUGUGUCAUGUAGCGGUGAAAUGCUUAGAUAUGACACAGAACACCGAUUGCGAAGGCAGCUUACUAAGUCGUAACUGACGCUGAUGCACGAAAGCGUAGGGAGCAAACAGG